AUGAACGCUAGCGACAGGCUUAACACAUGCAAGUCGAGGGGUAACAGGGUAGCAAUACCGCUGACGACCGGCGCACGGGUGAGUAACGCGUAUGCAACCUGCCUAUAACUGGGGAAUAGCUCCCUGAAAGGGGAAUUAACACCGCAUAACACUAUUGAUUCGCAUGGAUUGGUAGUUAAAUGUAGCGAUACAGGUUAUAGAUGGGCAUGCGUGACAUUAGCUAGUUGGUGAGGUAACGGCUCACCAAGGCUACGAUGUCUAGGGGUUCUGAGAGGAAGGUCCCCCACACUGGUACUGAGACACGGACCAGACUCCUACGGGAGGCAGCAGUGAGGAAUAUUGGUCAAUGGGCGCAAGCCUGAACCAGCCAUGUCGCGUGCAGGAAGACUGCCCCCUAUGGGUUGUAAACUGCUUUUAUAGUAGAAGAAACACAUCUACGCGUAGAUGUCUGCCAGUAUACUAUGAAUAAGCAUCGGCUAACUCCGUGCCAGCAGCUGC
rnacentral:rRNA from 1 species